ACGCACGCUGGCGGCGUGCCUAAUACAUGCAAGUAGAACGCACAGUUUAUACCGUAGCUUGCUACACCAUAAACUGUGAGUUGCGAACGGGUGAGUAACGCGUAGGUAACCUGCCUGGUAGCGGGGGAUAACUAUUGGAAACGAUAGCUAAUACCGCAUAAUAUUGAUUAUUGCAUGAUAAUUGAUUGAAAGAUGCUAUUGCAUCACUACCAGAUGGACCUGCGUUGUAUUAGCUAGUAGGUGAGGUAACGGCUCACCUAGGCGACGAUACAUAGCCGACCUGAGAGGGUGAUCGGCCACACUGGGACUGAGACACGGCCCAGACUCCUACGGGAGGCAGCAGUAGGGAAUCUUCGGCAAUGGACGAAAGUCUGACCGAGCAACGCCGCGUGAGUGAAGAAGGUUUUCGGAUCGUAAAGCUCUGUUGUAAGAGAAGAACGGGUGUGAGAGUGGAAAGUUCACACUGUGACGGUAUCUUACCAGAAAGAGACGGCUAACUACGUG
rnacentral:rRNA from 1 species